rnacentral:rRNA from 1 species
CAGCCGCCACGGUAAUACGUAGGGUGCGAGCGUUAAUCGGAAUUACUGGGCGUAAAGCGUGCGCAGGCGGUUAUAUAAGACAGAUGUGAAAUCCCCGGGCUCAACCUGGGACCUGCAUUUGUGACUGUAUAGCUAGAGUACGGUAGAGGGGGAUGGAAUUCCGCGUGUAGCAGUGAAAUGCGUAGAUAUGCGGAGGAACACCGAUGGCGAAGGCAAUCCCCUGGACCUGUACUGACGCUCAUGCACGAAAGCGUGGGGAGCAAACAGGAUUAGAUACCCCUGUAGUCCCUGUCUCUUAUAC